AUGCAGGGCUGGGUGAGUUAUUGUUGGCUGCAUGCAGAAAAAGGAGGAGAUGAAGUUGCGUGUGAGGGAUUAAUGAAGUACUAUUCCCAAUAUUUGCUCCUCUGUUUAUGCAACAGCCUUGGUAUGAGAGAUUCAAAACUUAGGCCAUGUAUAGAUGGAAGGAGGGAGUACUAUUAUUGUGAAAGUUCAUAUACACUCGAUGAGAUUCAUGCAAACAUGGCAGAUUUUCAUUACAUUUCGAACUUUUAUAGGGCAGAAAAAGAAAAGAAACCCGACCCUAAACCUAUUCUACAGCGGUGA
rnacentral:rRNA from 1 species